UACGGGGGGAGCAAGCGUUGUUCGGAUUUACUGGGCGUAAAGGGCGCGUAGGCGGCCAGCACAAGUCAGUUGUGAAAUCUCCGGGCUUAACUCGGAAAGGUCAACUGAUACUGUGCGGCUAGAGUGCAGAAGGGGCAACUGGAAUUCCCGGUGUAGCGGUGAAAUGCGUAGAUAUCGAGAGGAACACCUGCGGCGAAGGCGGGUUGCUGGGCUGACACUGACGCUGAUGCGCGAAAGCCAGGGGAGCGAACGGG
rnacentral:rRNA from 1 species